rnacentral:rRNA from 1 species
UACGUAGGGCGCAAGCGUUGUCCGGAAUUAUUGGGCGUAAAGAGCUCGUAGGUGGCUUGUCGCGUCUGCCGUGAAAGCCCAUGGCUUAACUGUGGGUCUGCGGUGGAUACGGGCUGGCUAGAGGUAGGUAGGGGCAAGCGGAAUUCCUGGUGUAGCGGUGAAAUGCGCAGAUAUCAGGAAGAACACCCGUGGCGAAGGCGGCUCUCUGGGACGGUACUGACGCUGAGACGCGAAAGCGUGGGGAGCGAACAGG